rnacentral:rRNA from 1 species
UGGAGAAUAUUGGACAAUGGGCGAAAGCCUGAUCCAGCCAUGCCGCGUGUGUGAAGAAGGUCUUCGGAUUGUAAAGCACUUUAAGUUGGGAGGAAGGGCAUUAACCUAAUACGUUAGUGUUUUGACGUUACCGACAGAAUAAGCACCGGCUAACUCUGUGCCAGCAGCCGCGGUAAUACAGAGGGUGCAAGCGUUAAUCGGAAUUACUGGGCGUAAAGCGCGCGUAGGUGGUUUGUUAAGUUGGAUGUGAAAGCCCCGGGCUCAACCUGGGAACUGCAUCCAAAACUGGCAAGCUAGAGUACGGUAGAGGGUGGUGGAAUUUCCUGUGUAGCGGUGAAAUGCGUAGAUAUAGGAAGGAACACCAGUGGCGAAGGCGACCACCUGGACUGAUACUGACACUGAGGUGCGAAAGCGUGGGGAGCAAACA